AUAUUUGUCAUUUCAGGUUCUUUCCCACAUGCUUUGUUUUCUUUAUCCCUAUCAGCUGUUCUCUUUGUCCCUUCCCUGUCCUGUUCCAUAAUAUUUGACUUUUUAGAUUUUUUUUUUUAAAUCCCUUUCAUUGUGGACACUCUGAUCUUUCAAAUGUUUGCCAUCUUAUCCUUUUCCUCCAUUUUGCAUCCUGUUUCUUUCAAACAUUAAGUAUCCAUCUGGAGAGUCCUUCGGAUGCCAUUGCCUGCCUUUUGGACAGUCUCCACAAUUCCUCUCAGGAAAUUCCUCUAGGAGGUGGAGGCAAAAAUUUGUCAAGACUAAUGACUCAUUUGGCUUGUUUGGGUGAGAAACUUGAGUCUGGCUGGUGGACCAUGUGACCACAAUGAUAGACAUAGACAAGAUGAUGCACUGAGUAUGAAGAAUGGAUAGGGGCAUGGGAUAUUGGUAUUUGUGCUAAACUCUUACAUCUAAAAUACUUUGUUUCUUGGCUUCUCCAUUGGUCUUUCAAUUCCCCACCUUGACUUUUUUUUUUUCUAUUUCUGAUGAUGGAGUGAAUGGAGUCUAGCAAAAGACCAUGUUGCUAGUUGUAAUCUAGAUGUAAGUGGACCCAAGUAAAGAGCAAACUGUUACCUUAUAAAAUCUGAAGAUUAAGCCAAAGAUAACAAUUAAUGAGGCUGUCUUAUAUAAACAGGUUGAACAAGACCACCAGGUUAUUUACUGAUAUACACAAUUAGCACAAUUUCCAAGUCAUCCUGACUCAAUUCUACUGGCUGAUGUAAGAAUAAGUAUUAUAUAUGAUGAAUAAAAAGUCCAAG